rnacentral:rRNA from 1 species
CACGCACACACGCGCGGCAUAUCAAUAAGCGGAGGAAAAGAAACUAACAAGGAUUCCCCUAGUAACGGCGAGUGAAGCGGGAAGAGCUCAAAUUUGAAAUCUUAAAGGGUUUCCCUUUACGAAUUGUAGUUUAAAGAAGUGUUUUCUGUUGAGGUUUUGGUAAAAGUUCUUUGGAAUAGGACAGUCAUAGAGGGUGAGAAUCCCGUAUUUGACCUUUACUUUCAACUUUGUGAUACACUUUCAAAGAGUCGGAUUGUUUGGGAAUGCAGUCUAAAAUGGGUGGUAAAUUUCAUCUAAAGCUAAAUAUUGGCGAGAGACCGAUAGCGAACAAGUACCGUGAGGGAAAGAUGAAAAGAACUUUGAAAAGAGAGUUAAACAGUACGUGAAAUUGUCAAAGAGGGAAGCGUUUGACACCAGUGUUGUUUUUCUGAAAAUCAAUUAAAGAACUGUUUAUGCUAAGUUGUUUAGACUUUAUCAGCUAACUGCUUAGUUUUGAGCUUUUCUUUAAUGCACUUUUCAGUUAACAAGUCAACAUCAAUUUCUUUUGCUGUAAAAAAGCUUGAGGAAGGUGGCUUGAGAUUCGUCUUAAGUGUUUAUAGCCUCUUGCCUAUGCAGUCGGAGAGAUUGAGGUCUGCAGCGUAGAUCCUUCGGGGCUAAAUGCAUUUGUGCUAAGUUAUAGCAUUUUAUAGACAACUUGUUGACUAUGAUUUGUCUUGUAGCUUACUCGCUUAUGUUAUUUUACCUACGCUUAGGAUGUUGAUCUCUCACAGUCGAGC